rnacentral:rRNA from 1 species
UACGUAGGGGGCAAGCGUUGUCCGGAUUUAUUGGGCGUAAAGAGCGUGUAGGCGGUCAGGUAGGUCCGUUGUGAAAACUCGAGGCUCAACCUCGAGACGCCGGUGGAAACCGUAAGGCUAGAGUCCGGAAGAGGAGAGUGGAAUUCCUGGUGUAGCGGUGAAAUGCGCAGAUAUCAGGAGGAACACCCGUGGCGAAAGCGGCUCUCUGGGACGGUACUGA